rnacentral:lncRNA from 1 species
CAGCCCACCAGGUCUGCCAUGGACAAGCUGACCACCUGCAUAUUCACUUUCUCCUCUCUGAAUUUAAUUUCUUCAUUUAUAAAACAAGGAACAUGUAUAGCAAAGUGAAGUAGUGAAGAUUGACAAAAUAAAAUAAAGGAAGCAUAUCAUCGAGUUUAUGGUCACAAAAACACCAUGGGAGACGAUGAUGUCUUCUCCUUUUUGUUAUCUUGAUAAAGCUUCAUACAUGAAUGAUAAAAUGGAAAUUUCAGUUGGGGAACUAAUAAAUCGACAGAUGUCUUACUCCACAACGAGGUGCAAGAUCUUGAGGCUGGAUUUAGAAAGAGGAAGAGAAGACCAAUUGCACAGCUCAUCACCCCUCCACCCGUCUGAUGAUAUGGAAGGUUUGAAGGAAGCCAGAGCUGGAGCAAGAUUUUCCUCCGAUGAGUUUUGAUGAACUACAAAGAAUGAAGAUGCUCUCCUUUGUCAUCCCCAGUCAAAGAAAAGGCACUUUAAAGAAAUCACUCACGAGCCAGAUAUUGCGGUUGUAUUUUGGUGGACACAGUGAAGUCACGUCUGGCUCGCUCCGCAAAUACUAGGAGGGUGAGAAGUGG